rnacentral:tRNA from 1 species
GGCUGGUUAGCUCAGUCGAUUGAGCAUGGUGCUGAUAACACCAAGGUCGCGGGUUCAGUUCCCAUUUGAUCCC